ACCCCAGACAAAGGAGAGGUGCCUGCUGGAGAAACCAAAGCAGUGCUGGAGACUGUCUGUUCACUCAUCGGGGCUGUCCUCUCCUGAGAAGCGAGGGCUUGACGUUCUCCUGGGGAAAGACCAAGCGAACCCGCCCAGGUCCUUCUGGAGCUGUACAUGGCUUGAGGCAGACAUGGUGGACGAUGAGCUAAACAAGGAAAACUUUCUGUCUUCAUAGCACUGACCUUCUAGGGGAGGCAGUCAAUAAUCAAGGACACAGGCAUUGAGGACUCAAACUCUUACCUGGAUCUGGUGGAGACGUGGCAUGGGCCAGCAUGUGGAGGUCUGAAUGGCCCCUGACCACUCUGCUGUGAAGAGCACACUCCCACAGUGAUGGAGCUUCACACACAGAAGCAAGUAUGCAUCGAAGACACUCGCUCAGGAAAUGUCCCUGACAUCUGUGGUCUCUACUCCCUUUCGAAUUACCAAUGUCUUAAUGGCUUUGUCUUUGGGCACGUAACAGGCGCAGUUCCUGCAGCAAAUUGGCUGCAAGUGGCCAUGAGCCUUUUCAUCACAAAGAAUGCCCAUUGUUUCUCCUGAGGAGCUCAGGUGAGCUACACUCUGACCUGCUAACCAUCAGGCCAGUAGUUGGAAGCCAGCAGCUGCUUGCUUCAAGGGAGAAAGAUGAGGUUA